UCAGCUUUGGGCAUGACCUUUCUGAGCUGGCUGCUUCUGUUUCUCACCUGUACAUUGAGCCAAAAAACAGCCGCCUCUGAAUUUUAGGAGGGGGUGUAAGGGACAGAGCAGAUGAAAGAUUUUCUGUAUUCAGUGAUAUGACCCUGAAUGAAUGCAGUUGAGCAAGCUGGCCAACUCAGAUGAGCACUAUUUUGUACUGCUCAUGUUUACCAGCGUACUGUGCCUGGGUCCAAGAGCAAGCCUACAACGCUGCUAUGGUGAAGCUGGCCAGCCUACUUUAACCUACUCAGACACGCCAUCUAAACAAAACACUCCCUCUCCAAAAACUUCGUGCUCCUCUCUGCCCUCUUGCAAGCCCUCUUGCUGCAAUCCUUUCCUGUGCUGCCUCUGGGGUGCAAUGGCUCUUGCUCCAAAUCGUUACUUCUAUGUGGAAGAUGGCCAAGCUGAAGUGGUGGGGCAGGCUGUGCCACCUGCUGCAGAGAGCUCCCCAGCUGUGGUGUGUUAGAUCCUGCUGUUGAAAUGCUCCUGGGCAGGCUGCUCUGAAAACACCUGGGGGGUUACCAGCUGAGACCAAAGAGGCAGAAUGGGCUGGAGGAAUGCAGUUCUGACAUUUUCCUUUGUGCUGGUCCUUUUAGCAGAACCCGGAGCAAGGGCCAUCUAUAUGAGAAUCUUAUCCUUCAAGCUGUAAUCAGAGCGUUCCAGGAGAGAUGUGGAUGCUGUACCUUUGAUUUAAGCCUUCUGACAAGCCUUGGAUGCUCCUCCCUUGCCUCUCAUGUGGAUUCCUAACAGGCAGCCCAUAGCCACCUAGCAAUCUACAAUGUAAAAUUAUCACCAUCUACUACUCCAAUAGCCAAAGGCCCAGUGGGAAGCUGCCCUGCGGACCUUGGGAUUUUUCUAUUCCUAGUCAAGGGAGAAACAAAUUUUCUUUCCAGUUUUGGAUUUGUCUGCCCAUUGGUUUCAGUUACAUCAUGCGAACAAGACGGACUCAGCUUUACUGCCCAAGAUAGGCAAUAUGUGUGCAGUAGAAAUACACUGGAAAUUCA
rnacentral:lncRNA from 1 species